GAACAUUUAAAUUUUUAACGCAUAUAAAAAAUAAAAAAGAUUUUGGAGGUUGCUUCAACAGUGAGUAAAGGUAUUUGGUUAUUGGUCAGUCUAAUCUUCAAGCCUACUCUCUUUAAAUCUCCAAUGUAUGAAAUUGGUAACCACCAAACUCUGUAGUUUUGAUUUAACUGUAAUUUAAUUUUCGUAUGUUAUUUAGACAGUUUACCAUUUUUGAUUUGAUAUCUUUC
rnacentral:lncRNA from 1 species